AUUGAACGCUGGCGGCAGGCUUAACACAUGCAAGUCGAGCGAGCGGCGGAAGGGUGAGUAAUGUCUGGGAAACUGCCUGAUGGGGGGGGAUAAAUACUGGACACGGUAGCUAAUACCGCAUACAAUCAGAUGUGCCCAGCUGGGAUUAGCUAGGAGGUGGGGUAAUGGCUCACCGAGACGACGAUCCCUAGCUGGUCUGAGAGGAUGACCAGCCACACGGGAACUGAGACACGGUCCAGACUCCGACGGGAGGUAGCAGUGGGGAAUAUUGCACAAUGGGCGAAAGCCUGAUGCAGCCAUGCCGCGUGUUGGAAGAAGGCCUUCGGGUUGUAAAGCACUUUCAGCGAGGAGGCGUUACUCGCAGAAGAAGCACCGGCUAACUCCGUGCCAGCAGCCGCGGUAAUAC
rnacentral:rRNA from 1 species